rnacentral:rRNA from 1 species
CAUGAGUGGCGGACGGGUGAGUAACGCGUGGGCAACCUGGCCUGUACAGGGGGAUAACACUUAGAAAUAGGUGCUAAUACCGCAUAACGGGAGAAGCCGCAUGGCUUUUUCCUGAAAACUCCGGUGGUACAGGAUGGGCCCGCGUCUGAUUAGCUUGUUGGCGGGGUAGGGGCCCACCAAGGCGACGAUCAGUAGCCGGCCUGAGAGGGUGGACGGCCACAUUGGGACUGAGACACGGCCCAAACUCCUACGGAAGGCAGCAG